rnacentral:antisense_RNA from 1 species
AACCGAAGCUGUCUUGUGAAAUGGAGGGGUCCUCACUAACCAGUUCCAGCGGAGGCUAACGGAAGAAGUGCCAGCAAUGGAUGUGCAGCUACAUGCACGCUUUUAAUUCAGAGCUUCUGCGACGGUGGCGAUCAGGGGAUCUGUAAUGUAAUGUAAUGUCAAGGCUGACGCAGAGCUGAUCAAACAUUUUGGCAACCUUAGUCUUGAAUUGAUUCACACUUUCUCCGCGUUGCCUCCGGAGUUUGCUGUAGGGGAAUGAAUAUUGCCUGGGUCCAUACUUCUCUUUCCUCAGAGUCUGGUGGACUUGGUUCUGCCUCAGCUUCCCUUGCAGACUUUUCUGCAAGAGAACGGAAAGCCCAGAAGAUGGAUGUGUGUAUGCCUGGUGACAAGGGCAGGGGAUGUAUGAUGUGGGCAGGUGCCUGUUUAAUUUCUAGGAGAGCAAAGAUUCUAGGGAAGCUUUGGAGUGAGUUCAAAGGGUAGAGAACUGGGGAGAAACUAAAGCCAAGAGGAUCUAGUACAAAUGUGGGAAGCUUGGCAAAGCCCGGGUGAAACAGAAAAUAAGUGUGAUUUGUGGAUCUGUUUAAAAUUAUUAUUAUAGUUACAAUUUACCAAAUACUCUGUUCCCAGUACUUUACUAUAAAGUGCGUUAUGUACGGUAUGGUUUUGUUUUUCACAAUGUCCUUAUCUUACAUUGUGUAACUUGCUCCUGGAAUGACUGUGCAUCCCCUGAAUAGAAAACAUACUUAGUUCUGUCCCUGCAGGGCAGAGUAGGGCUCAAUACACAUCUUUGAGCC